CUCUUCAUUUUGCAAAUGUCCCUUGUAAAGUAAUUUUAACUGUUUUCCAUUAGACAGGAUGGAAAUGAUUUACUUGAGCCUCUUCUUCCUCUUCACGUGUGACCUCUUCCUCUGAAUGUGGUGAGACUUUAAUGGCCAAGGAGUUGAGUGAUUAACGUUGGAGGGAGUUGCCUGUGUUAAUCUCUUGUGCAUAGCUGAAGAAAUGGCAGGCAAUUUCUCCACUUACGAGGUAAUUGUGAAGUAUAGCUGAGAGAGACACUGAAGAAAUU
rnacentral:lncRNA from 1 species